AAUGCUUAGGAAUCUGCCUAUUAGUGGGGGACAACAUUCCGAAAGGAAUGCUAAUACCGCAUACGCCCUACGGGGGAAAGCAGGGGAUCUUCGGACCUUGCGCUAAUAGAUGAGCCUAAGUCAGAUUAGCUAGUUGGUGGGGUAAAGGCCUACCAAGGCGACGAUCUGUAGCGGGUCUGAGAGGAUGAUCCGCCACACUGGGACUGAGACACGGCCCAGACUCCUACGGGAGGCAGCAGUGGGGAAUAUUGGACAAUGGGCGAAAGCCUGAUCCAGCCAUGCCGCGUGUGUGAAGAAGGCCUUUUGGUUGUAAAGCACUUUAAGCGAGGAGGAGGCUACUUGGAUUAAUACUCUAGGAUAGUGGACGUUACUCGCAGAAUAAGCACCGGCUAACUCUGUGCCAGCAGCCGCGGUAAUACAGAGGGUGCGAGCGCUAAUCGGAUUUACUGGGCGUAAAGCGUGCGUAGGCGGCUUUUUAAGUCGGAUGUGAAAUCCCUGAGCUUAACUUAGGAAUUGCAUUCGAUACUGGGAAGCUAGAGUAUGGGAGAGGAUGGUAGAAUUCCAGGUGUAGCGGUGAAAUGCGUAGAGAUCUGGAGG
rnacentral:rRNA from 1 species